AUUGAACGCUGGCGGCAUGCCUUACACAUGCAAGUCGAACGGUAACGCGGGGCAACCUGGCGACGAGUGGCGAACGGGUGAGUAAUGUAUCGGAACGUGCCCAGUAGUGGGGGAUAGCCCGGCGAAAGCCGGAUUAAUACCGCAUACGACCUACGGGUGAAAGGGGGGGAUCGCAAGACCUCUCGCUAUUGGAGCGGCCGAUAUCAGAUUAGCUAGUUGGUGGGGUAAAGGCCCACCAAGGCAACGAUCUGUAGCUGGUCUGAGAGGACGACCAGCCACACUGGGACUGAGACACGGCCCAGACUCCUACGGGAGGCAGCAGUGGGGAAUUUUGGACAAUGGGCGCAAGCCUGAUCCAGCCAUGCCGCGUGCGGGAAGAAGGCCCUUCGGGGUUGUAAACCGCUUUGUCAGGGAAGAAACGGUCUGAUCUAAUAAAUUAGGGCUAAUGACGGUACCUGAAGAAUAAGCACCGGCUAACUACGUAGCCAGCAGCCGCGGUAAU
rnacentral:rRNA from 1 species